GGGGAUGACCUUGGUUUCGACGGGGAUACUGAAUUCGGAAUAGCGAGUCGUUUUCGUCUACAAACGUAAAAAAAGGACAACUAAAUAUAAACGCUGAAGAUAAUUUAGCAUUAGCUGCCUAAUUUGGCAGUAGUCCGCCUUGGCUUUCUCGCAGUCCAAGGCCUGACUUCAAAUUUAGCGAGACACUGAUUCAAGUUCGUUUCGCCUUGAAUUUAGUAUUAGAAACUACCUAAUACAUGUAUUUGCUUGUUGUUUAUUGUAUUAGGGAACAAAUCACAAUAAGCUGCACUCGGAGAAGUUCCCUUGGAUGUAUUUUCGGACAGGAGUUCGACUCUCCUCAUCUCCACCA
rnacentral:sRNA from 1 species